CACGAUCUAAUUCUAGAACAUUUUCAUCCCUCCACAAGAAACUCUGAGCUCACUAGCAGUCACUGCCCACCAUUCCCCAUUCUACCCAGCCCCUGGCAAUCAUUAAUCUACUUUCUGUCUAUAUGGAUUUGUUUAUUCUGGACAUUUCAUAUAAAUGGAAUCAGUCAUACAAUAUGUGGCCCUCUGUGUCUGGGUUCUUUCACUUAGCAGUAAGUUUUUCAAGGUUAACCCAUUUUGUAGUAUGUAUCAGAACUUCAUUUCUUUUUAUAACCGAAUAAUAUUCCAUCAUAUGGACACACCACAGUUUGUUUAUCUGGUUAUCACUUUGUGGGAAUUUGAGUUGUUUCUACCUUUUGCCUAUCAUGAGUAAUGCUGCCAAGAACAUUGGUGUACAUUUUGUGUGCACAUAUGCUUUCAUAGGAGUGGAAUUGCUGGGUCAUAUGGUAAUAACUUUAUGAUUAACAGUUUGAGGAACUGUCUGGAACUAAUGUUUAAGAGUCCUGGCUGUCCUUGAGCUACUUCAGUAUCCUCCACAUGAAUAUAUGAAUUCCUUUUUUUCCUUCUUCUUUCAUCGACUUGAAUUGAUUUUAGUAACAUUAUUUGCAACCUCAUGAGCCUUAACAAAGUCACCCACUUGUAUUACUUCUGGUUUAGACUUUCCCGAUUCCUCAGUCUCCUUUAUUUUGGCUCCAUUUUUGCUUGCCUAUUUGAUAAUGCUUUAGUUUGGCUUUAUUUUGGCUGCAAGUAUCAGAUACUCAUUCCAGUUAGCUCAAGUAUAAGAACAUUCAGAAAAAUACAUGAUAAGAUAAUGGAAGCUUUUGGAAACCCAAGAACAAAAACCAUAAAGGGCUAGCUUCAGAGAAACUAGUGCUAAAAGCUAGUUCUCAAUUUGAGGUGGCUGUACACUUUACCAAUUACAAAUUUGUAAGUCUUCACUGUAUUUCAUCAGUAUAGCUAUAGUUCAGCCAUACUCAUUUCUGUCCUGCUAUGAACUGGUAAUUUCUCUACUUUCAUGCCAUUCUUCUGAGAGAGAAGCUCUGAUGGGUCCAAUGUAUCUUUUCAUAUCUGAUUACAGGUCAUGGGAAUCUAGCCAAUCUAUGGUUUGGUUGCUCUUAAAUCAGGUGCCCACCCUGAUCCAAUCAUUCAUGAGUCCAGAGAGCUAGAUCUCAUGGUACAAAACAUGGCUACUGAGUCUACUUCUUUAACAGGGGCCAGGAGGGCAUGGUGAUUGAUUUUUUUUGUGUGUGAUUGAUUGAUAUUUUGUUUUGUUUUGUAUUUUUGAGAGACGGAAUUUCGCUCUGUCGCCCAGGCUAGAGUAGAGUGGAGUGAUCUCGGCUUACUGCAACCUCUGCCUCCCGGGUUCAAGCGAUUCUCCUGCCUCAGUGUCCCAAAUAGCUGGGACUACAGGCUGUCUGCUGCCCUGCAUUGUGAGUUUGCUCAGUGGGCCAGCGUGGCACAGAAGCACAGUUGAGAGACCAGACCCGGGGCCUCUGGAGGAACGUGCUGGUAUCAUCGCUGAAGAGCUUUCUCAAUGCUGGCUGGCUGUUGUCAGGAGCAGUCCUUAGACAGGCUCGCUUCUGGUAGUUCAAAGAAUCAGUGCUCUGCAAAAGUAAGUUAUAAUAAAUGUUAUCUUAAAAAAUAAAAACAAGGCAACUGUUUUUUUUUUAAGUGCCCUCUCUAGCCUUGGGAGUCCUAAUGAGCUAUAAUCACAGAGACGCCAGACUAGUCAAAAUUGGAAGAAAGAGCUAUAAUCACAGGAAAAGAACUCUCUCCACAAUUUGAAGUAUCCCAGAAAAAGCAGCAGCAAUGAGGACAGACUUCAAGACAAGCAGAGAGGAGCAGCCAUGGCGGGGCCUGCAGUGGCUACAGGGGGCCUCUAUAGCGUGAAAUGACAUCAGAAAAGGACCUGAGUGGCCCAAGAAAGGGAGGACGGAAAGUCAAGGAGGAAAGUAAGCAGGAGUUGAAUUUAGGAGUAAAUGCUACGGUGAUUAUGACUCACAGCCUCAUGGUCCUCAAGGCUGGAGUGGCGUUGGAGAAACCAGGUCAUAGUUGUAUAACCAAGGUACUCUGCAGGAUGGACUAUGGAGCUGCCUCCUGCAGCCACAGGUGAUCAAAAUGAGGUCUGUGUGACGGAGCCUGCAGCGAGGCAAGAUGGCUGCCUCAAACAAGUCCAUAUUUCAUCUCUCCUCCUAACCUCCUGCCUGCCAAAGCUCUGGCAGGGAACUCAUUACAACAAAGCAUGCAUGCACCCUAAUUACCUGUCAUACUUCUCUGUUGCUGGACCAGACCCUAUAAGAGAAUUCCAAAGAAUUUAUUUUUAUGGGAACAAAAUGCAGUAAUUGAUGUUGCAAUCCUGCCCAAAUCACUGAACAGAUCCUUUAACAUCCAAAUUCCCUAAAACAGCUUUGACUUACUACACACUUCACAUGCCAGCUAGUGUUUGAAGUGCGUGUAGCCGCCCCCAUGAAGCCCUUUCUUACUGGAGGGCCUGGGUCAACAUUGCUGAAGAGCCAGAAAAUCAGAAAUGAGUCCAGUAUCCACAUUCCAGCACUAAGCCCAGUAUCUACCAACCCGAGAAGCAACUGCCCUAGGCAAGCAAGGGCAGCACAAUCAGGUUGACCUCUCCUCGGGGACGAAGGAAAGAUGGCCCCCUCUCUCCCACAGGAGACUCCCUCAGCCCCAGUGAGGAGAGGAGAGGGAGCAGUGGGCAGGCUGUUUGAUCCUCCCCACCUGCACCUGGAUCAGCCCUGCCUGCUCCAGUCAUCCUUUUCACACCAGCAGGAAGGAAAUUGAAGCUACUGC
rnacentral:lncRNA from 1 species